rnacentral:rRNA from 1 species
CCUACGGGCGGCAGCAGUGGGGGAUAUUGGACAAUGGGGGGAACCCUGAUCCAGCGACGCCGCGUGAGUGAAGAAGUAUUUCGGUAUGUAAAGCUCUGUCAGCAGGGAAGAAAGAAAUGACGGUACUUGACCAAGAAGCACCGGCUAACUCCGUGCCAGCAGCCGCGGUAAUACGGGGGGUGCAAGCGUUGUCCGGAAUCAUUGGGCGUAAAGCGUUCGUAGGCGGCAAGGUAAGUCUGAUGUUAAAGCCCGGGGCUCAACUCCGGUUCGGCAUUGGAUACUAUCUAGCUAGAAUGUGGUAGAGGUAAAGAGAAUUCCUGGUGUAGCGGUGAAAUGCGUAGAUAGCAGGAGGAACAUCGGUGGCGAAGGCGCUUUACUGGACCAUUAUUGACGCUGAGGAACGAAAGCCAGGGGAGCAAAUGGGAUUAGAUACCCGGGUAGUC